rnacentral:rRNA from 2 species
UACGGGAGGCAGCAGUGGGGAAUAUUGCACAAUGGGCGCAAGCCUGAUGCAGCCAUGCCGCGUGUAUGAAGAAGGCCUCCGGGUUGUAAAGUACUUUCAGCGAGGAGGAAGGCGUUGUGGUUAAUAACCGCAGCGAUUGACGUUACUCGCAGAAGAAGCACCGGCUAACUCCGUGCCAGCAGCCGCGGUAAU